rnacentral:sRNA from 1 species
CAAUAUUAUCAUUUACCUGCGUUUAUGUCUUUGAGCAUGUUGUCUGAGUAGUGACAUAGAGUUCUUAAGGAUGGGAUAGAGUAGUUGUGCAAUCCGUAGUCUGUAGAAUUGUUAAGUUUUAGAAUUGAUUGAAUCCCUUCAGGACUAGUUUUGUUUACUGCUUAUUUCUUUCUGAUCAACUGGAAUUCGAUCCCAAGCAUUCCCGCACCCAGAAGGUGUUCGAUGGAAUGCUUGAUCCACUAGUUCCUGAGAAUUCGUCUCUAUCCCAAGGGAUUUGCCGUUUAGAGCGUUUAUUAA